UACGUAGGGGGGCAAGCGUUGUCCGGAAUCAUUGGGCGUAAAGAGCGUGUAGGCGGCCAGAUAAGUCCGCUGUGAAAUCUCGAGGCUCAACUUCGAGCUGUCGGUGGAAACUGUCUGGCUAGAGUCCGGAAGAGGAGAAUGGAAUUCCUGGUGUAGCGGUGAAAUGCGCAGAUAUCAGGAGGAACGCCGAUGGCGAAGGCAGCUCGCUGGGACGGUACUGACGCUGAGGCGCGAAAGCGUGGGGAGCGAACAGG
rnacentral:rRNA from 1 species